rnacentral:rRNA from 1 species
CACGCCCCACCCCCACCUGAUGAAGGCAACUAAAACAGGCAAGGGGGCACACCAAGGUGUGCCUGAGAUAACGGCG